CGGAGCUUCAAUGUGUUCCAAUAUAUAACAACAAGCCUUAAAAACCCAAGACUUAAAAAACUUUGUCAAGCAGCUUGAAAAACUUGGAGCAAAAUGAAUAAAGUUCUUGUGAUCUGCCUUAUACUCGCUGCAGUGGUCGUCGUAAUAGAAAGCAGCCCAUGUUUAAAACAAAUAAAAUCCCAAGACUCAGGAUGCGAUUCUGAUCCGGUAAG